rnacentral:hammerhead_ribozyme from 1 species
AUCCAGCUGUCGAGUCCCGAAUAAGACGAAACGCGCGUCCUGGAU